UGGGGAAUAUUGCACAAUGGGCGCAAGCCUGAUGCAGCCAUGCCGCGUGUGUGAAGAAGGCCUUCGGGUUGUAAAGCACUUUCAGCGGGGAGGAAGGCGAUAAGGUUAAUAACCUCCUCGAUUGACGUUACCCGCAGAAGAAGCACCGGCUAACUCCGUGCCAGCAGCCGCGGUAAUACGGAGGGUGCAAGCGUUAAUCGGAAUUACUGGGCGUAAAGCGCACGCAGGCGGUCUGUCAAGUCGGAUGUGAAAUCCCCGGGCUCAACCUGGGAACUGCAUUCGAAACUGGCAGGCUAGAGUCUUGUAGAGGGGGGUAGAAUUCCAGGUGUAGCGGUGAAAUGCGUAGAGAUCUGGAGGAAUACCGGUGGCGAAGGCGGCCCCCUGGACAAAGACUGACGCUCAGGUGCGAAAGCGUGGGGAGCAAACAGG
rnacentral:rRNA from 1 species